ensembl:lncRNA
GGGGAUGGUUGUGAGGGUUUUGGGGUGACUCUGCAGAGUUCCAGGUGUUGAGGAUGGUUCUGGGGGUGUUGGGGUGACACUACAGCGUUCCAGGUGUCCCCUUCCAUUAAGUGUUGGGGACAGUCCUUGGAGUUGUUGGGGUGACGCUACAGGGUUCCAGUUGUCACCUUCUGUUAGGUGUUUGGGGCGGUCUUUGGGGGUGUUGGGGUGACCCUACAGCAUUCCAGGUGUCCCCUUCCAUUAAGUGUUGGGGACAGUCCAUGGGGUGACCCUAUAGCAUUCCAGGUGUCCCCUUCCAUUAGAUGUUGGUGGACAGUCCUUGGGGGUGUUGGGGUGACCCUACAGCAUUCCAGGUGUCACCUUCCAUUAAGUGUUGGGGACAGUCCUUGGGGUGACCCUAUAGCAUUCCAGGUGUCCCCUUCCAUUAGGUGUUGGGGACAGUCCUUGGGGUGACCCUAUAGCAUUCCAGGUGUCCCCUUCCAUUAGGUGUUGGGGACAGUCCUUGGGGUGUUGGGGUGACCCUCCAACGUUCCAGUUGUCACCUUCUGUUAGGUGUUGGGGGAUAUGGGGACGGUUCUUGGGGUGUUGGGGUGACCCUACAACGUUCCAGUUGUCCCCUUCCAUUAAGUGUUGGGGACAGUCCAUGGGGUGUUGGGGUGCCCCUACAACGUUCCAGUUGUCCCCUUCCAUUAAGUGUUGGGGACAGUCCAUGGGGUGACCCUAUAGCAUUCCAGGUGUCCCCUUCCAUUAGGUGUUGGGGGACAGUCCUUGGGGGUGUUGGGGUGACCCUAUAGCAUUCCAGGUGUCCCCUUCCAUUAGGUGUUGGGGACAGUCCAUGGGGUGACCCUAUAGCAUUCCAGGUGUCCCCUUCCAUUAGGUGUUGGGGACAGUCCUUGGGGUUGUUGGGGUGACGCUACAGGGUUCCAGUUGUCACCUUCUGUUAGGUGUUUGGGACGGUCUUUGGGGGUGUUGGGGUGACCCUACAGCAUUCCAGGUGUCCCCUUCCAUUAAGUGUUGGGGACAGUCCAUGGGGUGUUGGGGUGACACUACAGCAUUCCAGUUGUCCCCUUCCAUUAGGUGUUGGGGACAGUCCAUGGGGUGACCCUAUAGCAUUCCAGGUGUCCCCUUCCAUUAGGUGUUGGGGGACAGUCCUUGAGAUUUUGGGGUGACCCUACAGCAUUCCAGGUGUCCCCUUCCAUUAGGUGUUGGGGACAGUCCUUGGGGUUGUUGGGGUGACCCUACAACGUUCCAGUUGUCCCCUUCCAUUAAGUGUUGGGGACAGUCCAUGGGGUGACCCUAUAGCAUUCCAGGUGUCCCCUUCCAUUAGGUGUUGGGGACAGUCCUUGGGGUGUUGGGGUGACCCUACAACGUUCCAGUUGUCACCUUCUGUUAGGUGUUGGGGGAUAUGGGACGGUUCUUGGGGUGUUGGGGUGACGCUACAGCAUUCCAGUUGUCCCCUUCCAUUAAGUGUUGGGGACAGUCCAUGGGGUGACCCUAUAGCAUUCCAGGUGUCCCCUUCCAUUAGGUGUUGGGGACUGUCCUUGAGAUUUUGGGGUGACACUACAGCAUUCCAGCUGUCCCCUUCCAUUAAGUGUUGGGGACAGUCCAUGGGGUGACCCUAUAGCAUUCCAGGUGUCACCUUCCACCAGGUGUUGGGGGACAGUCCUUGAGAUUUUGGGGUGACACUACAGCAUUCCAGGUGUCCCCUUCCAUUAAGUGUUGGGGACAGUCCAUGGGGUGACCCUAUAGCAUUCCAGGUGUCCCCUUCCAUUAGGUGUUGGGGACAGUCCUUGGGGUUGUUGGGGUGACGCUACAGGGUUCCAGUUGUCACCUUCUGUUAGGUGUUUGGGACGGUCUUUGGGGGUGUUGGGGUGACCCUACAGCAUUCCAGGUGUCACCUUCCAUUAGGUGUUGGGGACAGUCCAUGGGGUGUUGGGGUGACACUACAGCAUUCCAGUUGUCCCCUUCCAUUAGGUGUUGGGGACAGUCCAUGGGGUGACCCUAUAGCAUUCCAGGUGUCCCCUUCCAUUAGGUGUUGGGGGACAGUCCUUGAGAUUUUGGGGUGACCCUACAGCAUUCCAGGUGUCCCCUUCCAUUAAGAGUUGGGGACAGUCCAUGGGGUGUUGGGGUGCCCCUACAACGUUCCAGGUGUCCCCUUCCAUUAGGUGUUGGGGACAGUCCUUGGGAGUGUUGGGGUGCCCCUACAACGUUCCAGGUGUCCCCUUCCAUUAAGUGUUGGGGACAGUCCAUGGGGUGUUGGGGUGCCCCUACAACGUUCCAGUUGUCCCCUUCCAUUAAGUGUUGGGGACAGUCCAUGGGGUGACCCUAUAGCAUUCCAGGUGUCCCCUUCCAUUAGGUGUUGGGGGACAGUCCUUGGGGUGUUGGGGUGACACUACAACGUUCCAGUUGUCCCCUUCCAUUAAGUGUUGGGGACAGUCCAUGGGGUGACCCUAUAGCAUUCCAGGUGUCCCCUUCCAUUAAGUGUUGGGGGACAGUCCUUGGGGGUGUUGGGGUGACACUACAACGUUCCAGUUGUCCCCUUCCAUUAAGUGUUGGGGACAGUCCUUGGGGGUGUUGGGGUGACACUACAGCAUUCCAG